rnacentral:tRNA from 1 species
AUUUAUAUAGUUUAAUAAUAAAACAUUACACUUUCAUUGUAAAAUUAGAAUCUUUCUUAUAAAUA